rnacentral:tRNA from 1 species
GGGGGUGUCGUCCAGCGGCCAGGACACCGCCUUGUCACGGCGGAGAUCGCGGGUUCGAAUCCCGCCACCCUCG